UGACCCCCCCAGGUGCUGUCGGAGCUGGGCUACGUCUGGGGGGGCGCGGUGGCCCUGGGGGCUGUCCCUUGUCCCUUGUGACCCCUGUGUGACCCCUGUGACCCCUGUGUGACCCCUGUGUGACCCCCCAGGUGCUGUCGGCGCUGGGCUACGUCUCGGGGGGCGCGGUGGCCCUGGGGGGCUGUGUGACCCCUGUAUGACCCCUGUGACCCCUGUGUGACCCCUGUAUGACCCCUGUGACCCCUGUGUGACCCCUGUGUGACCCCCCAGGUGCUGUCGGAGCUGGGCUACGUCUCGGGGGGCGCGGUGGCCCUGGGGGGCCGCGUGGCCGCCCUGCUGAGCACGGAGCAGCUGGUGCUGACCGAGCUGCUGCUGGGCAACGUGCUGGCGCCGCUGCGGCCCCGAGGAGAGCGUGGCCCUGCUCUCCUGCCUGGUCACCCCCGGCCGCGGGGACCCCCUGCCCGAGGGGCUGCCCCCCUGCCCUGACACAGGCCCUGGAGCGCCUCCGCGCCGUCGCCGCCCGCGUGGGCCCGGCUGGAGCAGCAGCGCGGCCUCGGGCCCGGCCCCGACGACUUCGUGGCCCAGUUCGGCUUCGGCCUGGUCCAGGUGGUCUACGAGUGGGCCAGGGGCAUGCCGUUCGCGGAGAUCGCGCGCCUGGCGCCGGUGCAGGAGGGCUCGGUGGUCCGGGCCAUCCAGCGCCUGGAGGAGCUGCUGCGGGAGCUGCGCCAGGCCGCGCGCGCCGUGGGCGACCCCGCCAUGGCCGCCAAGAUGGAGGCGGCCGCCGCCAUGAUCAAGCGCGACAUCGUCUUCGCCGCCAGCCUCUACACGCAAUAAAGGGACACGGGGGGACAGGGGGGACGGCCACGCUGACCCCCGACCCCCCCCCGAGGCCCUGUGGUUUGGUCCAA